rnacentral:misc_RNA from 1 species
GAAGGGAAGAACCUCUUAAUAUUGCCAGCUUCUUUAAUAGCAUCAAUAAUCUUAACUUGAUCAGCCAAUUGCAUUGCACCAACAGUUGAUAUCACCACAUCCACUUGUUUUAUAGCCUUCAGCAAACUCUCAUGAUCAUACAAAUCACCAUUAAUAAUAGUGACACCCAAAUUCUUGAAAUUUUCAACAAUUUUGCCCUUAUCAGGAUCAGAAACUGUGGUCUCUCUAACUAAAGCAAAAGUUGGGUGUCCAGAUUUUGCACUAGCUUCAACUACAAAUUUACCAAUAUACCCUGUUCCUCCAAUAAUCAAAACUUUGCUUUUCUCAGCCAUUUGAUAAAAAUAAAACUUAAA